AGUAAGGGUUUGCUCAUGUAACCUGUGCCAAUAGAGCUCGUUUGUCAGGUCGGUGCCGUUGUGUUUCAACCUGGCAAAGGGGUCUUGGUUUAGUGUGUGUUUGUCGUGUUUUGUUAUACUGUGCCUGUUUGGUGGUUGUUUCUCAUAUUGAUGUUUGUUGUUUUUUGGUUUGGGCGGCAGUUCAGAUUGUUCACGUGUCAAGCUAGUUUCGUGUGUUUGGGACAUAGUAUUAGGUAUACCUUCAAAGAACAACAUAAAACAUAUCAAUACAGUUAUUAAAAACAGGGUUAAACUUAAAUGGAAAGAACUUAGGUUAACCUGCAUAACGCGCAGGGGCAUAUUUGCCUCUCGAGGCGGCUGCCUUCUUUCUAACUUCGGGCAGCAGGGGUGUGGGUCUCCGCCGACUGUCGGCCUUUAAUGUUAACUAUGCUCCUUGAGCAGUAUUGCUGUAUGGGAGCUAAGUA